UUUAAUUCGAUGCAACGCGAAGAACCUUACCUGGUCUUGACAUCCACGGAAGGUCUCAGAGAUGAGACUGUGCCUUCGGGAGCCGUGAGACAGGUGCUGCAUGGCUGUCGUCAGCUCGUGUUGUGAAAUGUUGGGUUAAGUCCCGCAACGAGCGCAACCCUUAUCCUUUGUUGCCAGCGGUCCGGCCGGGAACUCAAAGGAGACUGCCAGUGAUAAACUGGAGGAAGGUGGGGAUGACGUCAAGUCAUCAUGGCCCUUACGACCAGGGCUACACACGUGCUACAAUGGCGCAUACAAAGAGAAGCGACCUCGCGAGAGCAAGCGGACCUCAUAAAGUGCGUCGUAGUCCGGAUUGGAGUCUGCAACUCGACUCCAUGAAGUCGGAAUCGCUAGUAAUCGUGGAUCAGAAUGCCACGGUGAAUACGUUCCCGGGCCUUGUACACACCGCCCGUCACACCAUGGGAGUGGGUUGCAAAAGAAGUAGGUAGCUUAACCUUCGGGAGGGCGCUUACCACUUUGUGAUUCAUGACUGGGGUGAAGUCGUAACAAGGUAACCGUAGGGGAACCUGC
rnacentral:rRNA from 1 species